rnacentral:rRNA from 1 species
CAGUAGCCGCGGGAAAACGGAGGGUGCAAGCGUUAUCCGGAUUUAUUGGGUUUAAAGGGUCCGUAGGCGGACUUAUAAGUCAGUGGUGAAAGCCUGUCGCUUAACGAUAGAACUGCCAUUGAUACUGUAAGUCUUGAGUAUAUUUGAGGUAGCUGGAAUAAGUAGUGUAGCGGUGAAAUGCAUAGAUAUUACUUAGAACACCAAUUGCGAAGGCAGGUUACCAAGAUAUAACUGACGCUGUGGGACGAAAGCGUGGGUAGCGAACAGGAUUAGAUACCCGCGUAGUCCCUGUCUCUUAUAC